GGACUACUCGGGUUUCUAAUCCUUCUCGCUACCCCAGGCUUCGUCCCUCAACGUCAGUUUUUACAUACAAAGCUGCCUUCGCUGUUACCCGUCCCCUUAGUAUAGUAGAAUUAAAACUCUCCUCUAAGAGUUCGGACUUUAUUACAUAAAACUCUAGAAAAUUAGUUCCUUUUUUAGGCUUGAUUUUCCGUCUAGGUACCCUUUAGACCUUUUAAAGAUGAAUAACACUUGUCUUCUACGUGUUACCGCGGCGGCUGGCAC
rnacentral:rRNA from 1 species